rnacentral:rRNA from 1 species
AGAGUUUGAUCAUGGCUCAGACUGAACGCUGGCGGCAUGGCUAAAACAUGCAAGUCGAACGGGUCCGCAAGGACUAGUGGCGGAAGGGUGAGUAAUGAUAUCGAACGUACCCUGAGGUGGAGGAUAGGCACGGGAAACUGUGCGUAAUACUUCAUGAUCUCUAGCGAGCAAAGUCGCAAGACGCCUUGGGAGCGGCGAUAUUCCUAUCAGGUAGUUGGCGGGGUAACGGCCCACCAAGCCGAAGACGGGUAGCCGGUGUGAGAGCACGGCCGGCCACAUCGAGACUGAGACACUGCUCGGACUCCUACGGGAGGCUGCAGUAACGAAUAUUCCGCAAUGGGCGAAAGCCUGACGGAGCAAUGCCGCGUGCGGGAUGAAGCGCUUAUGGCGUGUAAACCGCUGUCAGGAGAUAGAAACAUUGAUCAUCUCCAGAGGAAGGGGCGACUAACUCUGUGCCAGCAGUCGCGGUAAUACAGAGGCCCCGAGCGUUAGUCGGAAUCACUGGGCUUAAAGGGUGCGUA